CGCUCACCUUCGGGUGGGAGUGGCAGACGGGUGAGUAACACGUGGGAACGUACCCUUUGGUUCGGGACAACUCUGGGAAACUGGAGCUAAUACCGGAUACGCCCUUUUGGGGAAAGGUUUACUGCCGAAGGAUCGGCCCGCGUCUGAUUAGCUAGUUGGUGGGGUAACGGCCUACCAAGGCGACGAUCAGUAGCUGGUCUGAGAGGAUGAUCAGCCACACUGGGACUGAGACACGGCCAGACUCCUACGGGAGGCAGCAGUGGGGAAUAUUGGACAAUGGGCGCAAGCCUGAUCCAGCCAUGCCGCGUGAGUGAUGAAGGCCUUAGGGUUGUAAAGCUCUUUUAUCCGGGACGAUAAUGACGGUACCGGAGGAAUAAGCCCCGGCUAACUUCGUGCCAGCAGCCGCGGUAAUACGAAGGGGGCUAGCGUUGCUCGGAAUCACUGGGCGUAAAGGGCGCGUAGGCGGCGUUUUAAGUCGGGGGUGAAAGCCUGUGGCUCAACCACAGAAUGGCCUUCGAUACUGGGACGCUUGAGUCUGGUAGAGGUUGGUGGAACUGCGAGUGUAGAGGUGAAAUUCGUAGAUAUUCGCAAGAACACCGGUGGCGAAGGCGGCCAACUGGACCGGCACUGACGCUGAGGCGCGAAAGC
rnacentral:rRNA from 1 species